rnacentral:lncRNA from 1 species
GUACUUUUAGUGGUGCUAGUUAUUUUUCACUUGUCUCAGAAGUUUGUCUCUAAUUCUUGCAGACCAGUGUGAAAUAACUGUAUGAGCUGACGCUGUACAGCUGAUGUAACAAUCAGAAUGACCAUUUCAGUCUGAGUUUAAGGGAAGACGACUGUGAAGAACACUUUGGAAAAUGCCCAUAUGAAGAUACUACUAAAGUACAUGCCCAUGUACACCUACAGAAUAUAUCCUUUCCACUAUAUGCCUAACAUACAUGGAAUAUUACCUGUGAUUGUACCCUGGAAAACAAGUGAGAAGCUUUGUAUUCAUUCUGAGGUGAUUUCUAUGUACCGAGAAAGCUUACAGAGAGGAAAAGCUACAGAAAAGCUUCUUGGUUUGAUGGAUGGCCAGCACAUAAAAAAAAGGAGAUAGCACCUGAAUAAAGAACCAGGCACCAGGACUACUCUCAAGGGAAAAGCUUUUUACCAAGCCCAGGCACAGCAUUUCCAAGUAUCAAGAGUUAACAUGCAAACUGAGUAACACUAAAGACACCAAGCUCCUGCUUUUCCUCAAGAACCUUGGCUCAGCAUGUGCCUACAACAGAAGACUCCCACACACUACACAGUUAAUCACCAGUCCAGUUCAUUAUGUCCACAUCCAAACCCAACUGCGACACUGUGAUAGAGAGGCUAACAGAUACGUGGUCUGAUUGUUAGACUGCAAUUGACAAAUCUGAUAAAGCACCGAACCUGACCUUACGCUUCUUUGUUUGCUUUUUAAUAACCUCCAUCUACCAGCAGAGACUCUAAUGCUCUGUGUAGUCAAUUGUUCCUUGCAAUUAACUGUGCUUUGUAAUAUCAAAAGAAAAUAAACCCACCUUUGGAGAGGGAG